rnacentral:rRNA from 1 species
UACGGGGGGGGCAAGCGUUGUUCGGAAUUACUGGGCGUAAAGGGCUCGUAGGCGGCCAACUAAGUCAUACGUGAAAUCCCUCAGCUUAACUGGGGAACUGCGUGUGAUACUGGAUGGCUUGGAUUUGGGAGAGGGAUGCGGAAUUCCAGGUGUAGCGGUGAAAUGCGUAGAUAUCUGGAGGAACACCGGUGGCGAAGGCGGCAUCCUGGACCAAUAUUGACGCUGAGGCGCGAGAGCGUGGGGAGCAAACAGG